GUGCUCGCAUCUGCGGCACAUAUACUAUAACUGGAAUCAUACAAGAAGAUUAGCAUGGCCAGUGCAUGAGGGUGAUACAUAAAUUAGUUAAACAGUCCACUUAAGA